AGCAGGGUAGAGCAGUUUGGUAGCUUAUCAGGCUCAUGACCUGAAGGUCGUAGGUUCAAUUCCUACUCCUGUUA
rnacentral:tRNA from 1 species